AGAAGAAUAACAAAGAUUUCUAAUCUUUAUGCAGCUUUAAAGCUUUCUUCUU
rnacentral:tRNA from 1 species